AACCAUUCUCACCUGCGGCUAGACCUGCGGAAGGAUCAUUAUAGAGUUUUAAACUCCAAACCCCUGUGGACUUACCUAUCGUUGCCUCGGCAGGUCCGCGGGACGCGCCACACCGGCGCGGCCCGCGUUAAACACGCCUGCCAGCGGGCCUACAACGAAACUCUUGUUUUUUUAUACUGAAAUUCUGAAUCUUUGACUAAAUAAGUUAAAACUUUCAGCAAUGGAUCUCAGAUCGGAAGA
rnacentral:misc_RNA from 1 species